rnacentral:misc_RNA from 1 species
GAUGAAGAACGCAGCGAAAUGCGAUAAGUAAUGUGAAUUGCAGAAUUCAGUGAAUCAUCGAAUAUUUGAACGCACAUUGCGCCCGCCAGUAUUCUGGCGGGCAUGCCUGUUCGAGCGUCAUUUCAACCAUCAAGCCCCAGGCUUGUGUUGGGGACCUGCGGCUGCCGCAGGCCCUGAAAACCAGUGGCGGGCUCGCUGUCACACCGGGCGUAGUAGAUUUUAUCUCGCUCAGGGCGUGCUGCGGGUCCCGGCCGUUAAAAGCCUUUUUUUACCCAAGGUUGACCUCGGAUCAGGUAGGAAGACCCGCUGAACUUAAGCAUAUCAAUAAGCGGAGA